rnacentral:rRNA from 1 species
UACAGAGGUCUCAAGCGUUGUUCGGAUUCAUUGGGCGUAAAGGGUGUGUAGGUGGCGCCGUAAGUCGGGUGUGAAAUUUCGGAGCUUAACUCCGAAACUGCAUUCGAUACUGCGGUGCUUGAGGACUGGAGAGGAGACUGGAAUUCAUGGUGUAGCAGUGAAAUGCGUAGAUAUCAGGAGGAACACCAGCGGUGUAGACGGCUUUCUAGACCAUUGCUGACGCUGAGACACGAAAGCGUGGGUAGCAAACAGG